UAGUUGAAGGCACCUCGCCUGGAGCCUUCCCAUGUUAGGUGCCUAGAUUUCGCCUCGCCUGGGCACCUCUUGACAACACUGGUUUUGGCACUUUGGUGCUUCCAUUAAGUCCAAUCAUAUCUGGUUGCAUUCUGGUUUUGGUUUAUCCAUAACAUUCUCUUGCAUUCUGCUUUAAUGCUUGCUUUGUAAAUAAUGUGCUUGUGAUGAAUUGAAUGUGAUAUCUUUGGGGUUCAUCCAUAGUAUUGGGAGUUUCUUUUGUUAUCCUUUCCUGAUAUGGUAUAGCUGAAGAUUGAAUAGAUUGAAAAAAAAAAAAAAUGUAAACUAGACAAUUAAAUUUAUAUAAUAAACCACUGUGCAACUCAUAAAUGGUAUGGUGGGUGCCACUAAGUACUGCUAGCUAGCUCUUGCCCCAGUUCUGCUGUAUCAACUGGAGAAAAUAAAAACACAUGCAUAUUAAAUGAUAAUGGAUUUUGGCCCUUUUGUUUUGUUUCUAUUUUGAUGUUCUAAAGAGGCUGUUCUAUCUCCUGCUGCUUUCUUUCUCAUCAUUUUUUUUUUG
rnacentral:misc_RNA from 1 species